CUUUACGGCCACACCGCCCUGAGCGCGCCCGAUCUCGUCUGAUCCCGGAAGCUAAGCAGGGUUGGGUCUGGUUAGUCCUUGGAU
rnacentral:rRNA from 1 species